CCUACGGGAGGCAGCAGUGAGGAAUAUUGGUCAAUGGCCGUAAGGCUGAACCAGCCAAGUCGCGUGAAGGAAGAAGGAUCUAUGGUUUGUAAACUUCUUUUAUAGGGGAAUAAAGGCAUCUACGUGUGGAUAUUUGCAUGUACCCUACGAAUAAGCAUCGGCUAACUCCGUGCCAGCAGCCGCGGUAAUACGGAGGAUUCGAGCGUUAUCCGGAUUUAUUGGGUUUAAAGGGUGCGUAGGUGGUUGUAUAAGUCAGCGGUGAAAGUAUGUGGCUCAACCAUGAAAUUGCCGUUGAAACUGGUAGACUUGAGUGUAGUUGAGGUAGGCGGAAUGCAUGGUGUAGCGGUGAAAUGCAUAGAUAUCACGCAGAACACCGAUUGCGAAGGCAGCUUACUAAGCCAUAACUGACGCUGAGGCACGAAAGCGUGGGGAUCAAACAGGAUUAGAUACCCGAGUAGUC
rnacentral:rRNA from 1 species